CUACGGGUGGCAGCAGUGAGGAAUAUUGCACAAUGGGGGGAACCCUGAUGCAGCAACGCCGCGUGGAGGAUGACGCAUUUCGGUGUGUAAACUCCUUUUAUAUGUCAAGAAAAUGACGGUAGCAUAUGAAUAAGCACCGGCUAACUCCGUGCCAGCAGCCGCGGUAAUACGGGGGUGCAAGCGUUACUCGGAAUCGCUGGGCGUAAAGGACGCGUAGGCGGGUUGGAAAGUCAGGUGUGAAAUCCUACAGCUUAACUGUAGAACUGCACUUGAAACUUCUAAUCUAGAGUAUGGGAGGGGGAGAUGGAAUUAGUGGUGUAGGGGUAAAAUCCGUAGAUAUCACUAGGAAUACCUAAAGCGAAGGCGAUCUCCUGGAACAUUACUGACGCUAAGGCGUGAAAGCGUGGGGAGCAAACAGGAUUAGAUACCCUGGUAGUC
rnacentral:rRNA from 1 species